AGAGUUAGCUGGACAAUCGCGCUGUGACUAUGAUUUAGUGGCAGGGAGGAAAGUCCGGGCUCCAAUGGGCAGGGUGCCAGGUAACGCCUGGGAGGCGAAAGUCUACGGAAAGUGCAGCAGAAAAUAAACCGCCAGCCUGUUUUACAGGCGGGUAAGGGUGAAAUGGUGCGGUAAGAGCGCACCGCAUGGGUGGUAACAUUCCAUGGUAUGGUAAACCCCACCUGGAGCAAGACCAAAUAGGGGGGCAGAGAUACCUCGGUAUUUCAGAUAUGGCCCGUAUCGUCCCCGGGUAGGUCGCUUGAGGAAUACGGUGACGUAUAUCCCAGAUGAAUGAUUGUCCUCGACAAAACCCGGCUUACAGGCUGGCUCUUCAC
rnacentral:RNase_P_RNA from 1 species